rnacentral:tRNA from 1 species
GGAGCUGCCAUGGCUUACUGGUUACGGUGUUCGUUUUGUAAGCGAAUUGUCUUGGGUUCGAUUCCCAUCUGCUCCC